ensembl:lncRNA
CCUGAGCUUACACAGACCCCGUGAUAUGCUGGAGCUGGCUCCCUCUGGCUCAGGAGGGAGAGCGCGUUGUUAAAAUUUCGUGAAUUUUGCGAGCCAGGUUUCACUGGGACCUUGAAAUAACUGUUAGAAGUAUUUACACCACAGCAAUCAGCAAAUGAUGCAAACCGGAGCUUUUUCCCCCCUUUCAGGAGCCAGUUGUUAAACAUUUACCAGCUCACCACUGGCUGAAGGCCACAGCCUUUAUAAUGUCUCAGGAGAGUCCUUAGUGUAGAAAGUUUCAGAGCUUAGCAAGACUGCCCCCUUGUCUCAAGUUCUGUGACAGAUCUGAGCCUGUCUGAUUCUGCUGCUGCUGCUGCUAAGUCGCUUCAGUCGUGUCCGACUCUGUGCGACCCCAUAGACGGCAGCCCACCAGGCUCCCCCGUCCCUGGGAUUCUCCAGGCAAGAACACUGGAGUGGGUUGCCAUUUCCUUCUCCAAUGCAUGAAAGUGAAAAGUGAAAGUGAAGUCGCUCAGUCAUGUCCGACUUUUAGCGACCUCAUGGACUGCAGCCUACCAGGCUCCUCCGUCCAUGGGAUUUUCCAGGGCAGAGUUUCCGUUUGGGAUGAUGAGAGUUCUGCAGAUGAACAGUGGCCGCACAGCAAUGUGAAUAGAUUUAACGCCACCGAGCUGAAACUCCAAGAUGCUUAAGACGGUCCGUUUCACAUUACAUGUGGUGUAUUUUACCACAAUAAAAAGUCAAUUAAAAAGUUGCUGAUGGGACUUCCCUGGUGGUACAGUGCAUAGGAAUCCGCCUGCCAACGCAGGGGACGCAGGUUCCGCCCGCGACCUGGAAAGAGCCCACAUGCCGCGGAGCAGCUAAGCACGUGCAUGGUAACCACUGAGGCUGUGUGCUGCGACUGCUGAAGUCCACGCGCCCCAGAGCCCACGCGCUGCAGCAAGGGCGGCCACUGCAGUGGGAGCCCCGCACAGCGCAACCAGAGAGCAGCCUGCGCAGAGCAGCACAGACCCAGGGCAGCCAGAUGAGGAACUGCUUUAAAGGGAUUCACGGAUCCCCAGCUCGGCUCUAGGCACUGUGCUGUAUGCCCUGGACAGUAGAAAAUGAAGCAGGUGAUUUCCUCUGCCUCCGUGGAGCGGACAUUCUAGAACGGUGCUGUCCAAGAGCGCUCUCUAUGGAUGGAGCGAUGAGUGGACAGCAGUGUUCCAGAUCUGCUCUGCACCACACGGUGGCCACCCGCCACCUGGGGCUCCUGAGCACUGGAAAUGUGGCCAAUGCCCCCCGAGGAACUGGCUUUAAUUUCAUUUCAUCUCAAUUAAUUUGAAUAUAAACAGCCACCUGUGGCUAGCGCUGGCCGAACUGGGCAGCACGGUUCUCGAAGGUCAGUCACAGGACAGGCAAGUGGUGGGGCUGGGGUUAGAAUCCCCGUUUGUCUAAACUUAUUGAAGCUGUGGGCCUUAUUCACCGCUGUGGGCCUCCUACAUCUGAAUCACCAGGGAAGCAGGCUCCAAAUUCAGAUUCCUGGGCUCUGCCUCAGAUCCACUGACUCAGGGGAUGGGGCCCAGGACUCUGCAUUUUUGUCAAGGUCCUUGGGUGAUUCUGAGGCACUAGAGUUCAAGUUUGAGACCUACCGCCCUACUUACUCAAGACUCCCAGGUCGGGCUUCCCUGGUGGCCCAGUGGUAAAUAAUCCGCCUGCCAGUGCAGGGGAUACAGGUUCGAUCCCUGGACCGGGAAGAUUCCACAGGCCACGGAGCACCUAAGCCCAUGAGCUGCAACUGCUGAGCCCACAUUCCACAGCUACUGAGGCCUGUGCACCCAGAACGUGCUCCACAGGAGAGGCCACCUCGGCGAGAAGCCCGCGCACCGCAGCCAGAGCGUAGCCCCCGCUCCCCGCAGCCAGAGAAAAGCCCACGCAUCUGCGAAGACCCAGCGCAACCAAAAAUAAAUAAUAGAUAAAAGACUCCCAGUUAUGUUGAUGUUUGGCAGAAACCAACACAGUCAUUGUAAAGCAAUUAUCCUUCAAUUAAAAAUAAAUUUAAAAAAAGACUCUCAGCUGGCGGGACGUCCCUGGUGGUCCAGCGGUUAAAAGUCCGCCUCGCAAUUCAAGGGACGGGGGUUCGAUGUCUGGUUGGGGAACCGAGAUCCCACGUGUCAUGGGGCAGCUAAGCCCGAGCGCCACAGUCUGUGCCGCAGUUGAGACCCCAUGCAGCCAAGGAAUUAUUAUUAUUAUUUUUAAGAAGAGCCCCAAUUGAGGAGAGUUUGAAUUAGGUCUGACCUGUGCUGGGCGCCCGGGCCAGGACCAGGCCUGCCCCGCUUGGCUCCCCCAGCCUCAAAG